AACGGUAACAGGCCUUCGGGCGCUGACGAGUGGCGGACGGGUGAGUAACGCGUAGGAAUCUGCCUGUUAGUGGGGGACAACGUGGGGAAACUCACGCUAAUACCGCAUACGCCCUACGGGGGAAAGCGGGGGCUCUUCGGACCUCGCGCUAACAGAUGAGCCUGCGUGGGAUUAGCUAGUUGGUAGGGUAAAGGCCUACCAAGGCGACGAUCCCUAGCUGGUCUGAGAGGACGAUCAGCCACACUGGGACUGAGACACGGCCCAGACUCCUACGGGAGGCAGCAGUGGGGAAUAUUGGACAAUGGGGGAAACCCUGAUCCAGCCAUGCCGCGUGUGUGAAGAAGGCCCUAGGGUUGUAAAGCACUUUAAGCGGGGAGGAAAGGGUGAUGGCUAAUAUCCAUUAUCAUUGACGCUACCUGCAGAAUAAGCACCGGCUAACUUCGUGCCAGCAGCCGCGGUAAUACGAAGGGUGCAAGCGUUAAUCGGAAUUACUGGGCGUAAAGCGCGCGUAGGCGGUUUGGUAAGUGUGAUGUGAAAUCCCCGGGCUCAACCUGGGAACUGCAUCACAUACUGUCAGGCUAGAGUACGGUAGAGGGGGGUAGAAUUCCACGUGUAGCGGUGAAAUGCGUAGAGAUGUGGAGGAAUACCAGUGGCGAAGGCGGCCCCCUGGAUCGAUACUGACGCUGAGGUGCGAAAGCGU
rnacentral:rRNA from 1 species